AGAGUUUGAUCCUGGCUCAGAUUGAACGCUGGCGGCAGGCCUAACACAUGCAAGUCGAGCGGCAGCGGGAAGUAGCUUGCUACUUUGCCGGCGAGCGGCGGACGGGUGAGUAACGUCUGGGAAACUGCCUGAUGGAGGGGGAUAACUACUGGAAACGGUAGCUAAUACCGCAUAACGUCGCAAGACCAAAGAGGGGGACCUUCAGGCCUCUUGCCAUCAGAUGUGCCCAGAUGGGAUUAGCUAGUAGGUGGGGUAACGGCUCACCUAGGCGACGAUCCCUAGCUGGUCUGAGAGGAUGACCAGCCACACUGGAACUGAGACACGGUCCAGACUCCUACGGGAGGCAGCAGUGGGGAAUAUUGCACAAUGGGCGCAAGCCUGAUGCAGCCAUGCCGCGUGUAUGAAGAAGGCCUUCGGGUUGUAAGUACUUUCAGCGAGGAGGAAGGCAUUGUGGCUAAUAACCACAGUGAUUGACGUUACUCGCAGAAGAAGCACCGGCUAACUCCGUGCCAGCCGCCGCGGUAA
rnacentral:rRNA from 1 species